rfam:Salmo salar isolate Sally breed double haploid chromosome ssa13, whole genome shotgun sequence.
UGCACGCAUGACUGCAAGCCGCUUUGGAUAAAAGCGUCUGCUAAAUGUACAUAUA